ensembl:lncRNA LNCTAM34A long non coding transcriptional activator of miR34a
UACCUGGGUGCAUGCUGGGACGGGGCGAGCAGGUAGUGCAGGCUUCCAGGCCUCUCCUGCCCCGGAGCUUGGCUGCAGGACUCCCGCAAAAUCUCCAAAUGCCCCCGAUCUGCGUGGUCACCGAGAAGCAGCCCGGCUCGGAACAAGCCCAGGCAAGCCCAGGCAGAGCCCGCCGCCGGGUCCUCCUUCCUGCUCGUGCCACCAGGCCCCGGGGCCGCGACGCGUCUCUCCAGCCCGGGAUCCGGGGAGCUGGGCUGUCCCCAGACCGACGGGACAGCGGCAUCUCCUCCACCUGAAAAGGAAAGAGGACCAGUUUGCAGGACUCCGAACUGGGCCCGCGAGAUCUCCACCUGCGCAAAACGAAAGGGCGGAUUCUCCUUGGACUCACGAGGCAACCGCUCCCCGGGGUGAGAACGGGGGACUCAUUCCUCCGGCACUGGGAGAAGACGAUUCUUUAGGAGGAGGACAGGGAAGCGAAUGCUACCCAGAAGAGAGGUCAUCUCCUGGUACAAGAAAAUGGGCUGUCUUCUGGAUAACCGCAGCAAUUCAUCUCUGAGUAGCUGAAGGUCAUUAGUAUGCAUUAUACAAGUGGAACCAUUUGAGAGAAAAGAGGGAACUCACUGGACACAAAAGUGCACUGAGACUGUGAACAGCAAGUCCCGAACAAGGACACAGAGAUAGAUCCCAAAGGGAAAGGCUGGAGGGGGAAGGAUGCGACCCAGCCGCAGUGGCUGAUCCAUGAGGGCUCCUGUCUGGGUUCGUGCUGCCAAUCAGUAGCAUUCCCCAGGCAAGACGUGGGCGCCAGGCCUGACUUGAAACCCAAGGUUGGCUUCAAGAUCUUGCAGCUGGAUCAGAAUGCUGAGUUCAUCGUUGCUGGUGGGCCGCCGU